AUUGAACGCUGGCGGCAGGCCUAACACAUGCAAGUCGAACGAGUGGCGGACGGGUGAGUAAUGUCUGGGAAACUGCCUGAUGGAGGGGGAUAACUACUGGAAACGGUAGCUAAUACCGCAUACCAUCAGAUGUGCCCAGAUGGGCUUAGCUUGUUGGUGGGGUAACGGCUCACCAAGGCGACGAUCCCUAGCUGGUCUGAGAGGAUGACCAGCCACACUGGAACUGAGACACGGCCCAGACUCCUACGGGAGGCAGCAGUGGGGAAUAUUGGACAAUGGGGGAAAGCCUGAUGGAGCCAUGCCGCGUGUAUGAAGAAGGCCUUCGGGUUGUAAAGUACUUUCGGCAGAGAAGCGUUACCCGCAGAAUAAGCACCGGCUAACUCCGUGCCAGCCGCCGCGGUAAUUC
rnacentral:rRNA from 1 species